ACGCUCGACACCUACGGGAGGCAGCAGUGGGGAAUAUUGCACAAUGGGGGAAACCCUGAUGCAGCGACGCCGCGUGAGCGAAGAAGUAUCUCGGUAUGUAAAGCUCUAUCAGCAGGGAAGAAGAUGACGGUACCUGACUAAGAAGCACCGGCUAAAUACGUGCCAUCAGCCGNGGUAAUCUGAGCGGGCUGGCAAGGC
rnacentral:rRNA from 1 species